rnacentral:rRNA from 1 species
GACGAACGCUGGCGGCGUGCUUAACACAUGCAAGUCGAACGAUGAUCAGGAGCUUGCUCCUGUGAUUAGUGGCGAACGGGUGAGUAACACGUGAGUAACCUGCCCCUGACUCUGGGAUAAGCGUUGGAAACGACGUCUAAUACUGGAUAUGAUCACUGGCCGCAUGGUCUGGUGGUGGAAAGAUUUUUUGGUUGGGGAUGGACUCGCGGCCUAUCAGCUUGUUGGUGAGGUAAUGGCUCACCAAGGCGACGACGGGUAGCCGGCCUGAGAGGGUGACCGGCCACAAUGGGACUGAGACACGGCCCAGACUCCUACGGGAGGCAGCAGUGGGGAAUAUUGCACAAUGGGCGAAAGCCUGAUGCAGCAACGCCGCGUGAGGGAUGACGGCCUUCGGGUUGUAAACCUCUUUUAGUAGGGAAGAAGCGAAAGUGACGGUACCUGCAGAAAAAGCACCGGCUAACUACGUG